ensembl:lncRNA novel transcript
CAAUGAGAUAUCCUACACACCUGUUAGCACAGCUAGCAUGAACAGUGACACCAAAUACCGGUGUGGACAUGGGGAAAGUGGAUCACUCAUACAGUGCUGGUGGAAUUGUGAAGUGAUACAGACACUCUGGAAAACCGAUCGUUUCUUUAAAAAUUAAACAUGAGACUACUACCCAGAAAUCACAUUCCUGGGCAUUUAUUCCAGAGAAAUGAAGGCUUACAUUGAUUCAAAAACCUGUACACAAAUGUUUAUAGAGGAUUUAUUUGUUAUAACCUCAACCUGGAAACAAACCAGAAGUCCUUCAACAGCAAAAUCAACCUUUCCCUUGCCGUGAGUAAAAGACCAACUUGCAUCUGCUUGGUAUGCAGUAAAAAAUGGAGCAGAUUGCACAGUGACUGGAGAAAUGAAUGAGAAGUCCAGCUAUGAAAAAAAGUCAGAGACAAAAAUGAAGAUAAUAAAAUAUAUUUUGGAUGA